rnacentral:ncRNA from 1 species
AGGUAGGGUCAGUGACAGGGGUGAAGUCGUAACAAGGCACCCGUAGCGGAAGCUGUGGGUGGAUCACCUCCUUU